AUUGAACGCUGGCGGCAGGCCUAACACAUGCAAGUCGAGCGGAUGAAGGGAGCUUGCUCCUGGAUUCAGCGGCGGACGGGUGAGUAAUGCCUAGGAAUCUGCCUGGUAGUGGGGGAUAACGUCCGGAAACGGGCGCUAAUACCGCAUACGUCCUGAGGGAGAAAGUGGGGGAUCUUCGGACCUCACGCUAUCAGAUGAGCCUAGGUCGGAUUAGCUAGUUGGUGGGGUAAAGGCCUACCAAGGCGACGAUCCGUAACUGGUCUGAGGAUGAUCAGUCACACUGGAACUGAGACACGGUCCAGACUCCUACGGGAGGCAGCAGUGGGGAAUAUUGGACAAUGGGCGAAAGCCUGAUCCAGCCAUGCCGCGUGUGUGAAGAAGGUCUUCGGAUUGUAAAGCACUUUAAGAUGGGAGGAAGGGCAGUAAGUUAAUACCUUGCUGUUUUGACGUUACCAACAGAAUAAGCACCGGCUAACUUCGUG
rnacentral:rRNA from 1 species